rnacentral:tRNA from 1 species
GGCUAGCUCAAUCGGUAGAGCGUGAGACUCUUAAUCUCAAGGUUGUGGGUUCGACCCGUAAGCUG